AAUACGUUCCCGGACCUUGUACACACCGCCUGUCAAGCCAUGGAAGCUGGGUGUACCUAAAGUCGAUAACCGCAAGGAGUCGCCUAGGGUAAAACUAGUAACUGGGGCUAAGUCGUAACAAGGUACCC
rnacentral:rRNA from 1 species